rnacentral:rRNA from 1 species
UACGUAGGGGGCAAGCGUUGUCCGGAAUCAUUGGGCGUAAAGCGCGUGUAGGCGGCUUGGUAAGUCCGCUCUGAAAGCCCGGGGCUCAACCCCGGGAGGCGGGUGGAUACUGUCAAGCUCGAGUCCGGAAGAGGCGAGUGGAAUUCCUGGUGUAGCGGUGAAAUGCGUAGAUAUCUGGAGGAACACCGGUGGCGAAGGCGGCAUCCUGGACCGGUAUUGACGCUGAGGCGCGAAAGCCAGGGGAGCAAACGGG